rnacentral:misc_RNA from 1 species
UGCGGCUGGAUCACCUCCUUUCUAUGGAAGAAAAGAGAGAAAGAAGUAGGGAGUUGCAUUACUAUCUUGUUGUUAAAGGCAAGAAAAAGAUUUCCGGUGGCGAUGCGUCCUGGGGAGACACCCGUACCCAUCCCGAACACGACGGUUAAGACCAGGGCGGCCGAAAGUACUAUGCUGGAGACGGCAUGGGAGGAUAGGUGGCUGCCGGAUUAUCAAAAAAGAAAUAACGCUUUAACAGUGAUGAGAAAGCAGAGCAUUCUGUUUUCUGAUGACUGCUAAAACAGUCAAAUCGGUAGAUUACAUUAUUACCGAGUUUGUACCUUGAAAACCGAAUACUGAAAACACAUUUAAUCAGAGAAUCCGAUUAAAGACAUCGAACGGAUCUGCGAGAAGACCGAAGAUCCGAGAUCCAGAAAGAACAAUGUAUGCAAGUACAGAUUCUGUCGAAGUGCAACGCUAUGCACGAGGCAGAGAGAACGUGGUUAAAAAUGGACCAAAAGUUCUAUAGGCUGACAGAGGGAAGAUGAGAGUCUUACCUCAAGAU